AAGAACUGAGCUACCUAAUUUCUCAUCAAGAAAAAGGGAAGGCCUGGAAAUUUAUUUAAUUACAUUAAUUAAUAAAUAUACAUCUCUUAUGCAUAUAUUAAUAAUUAAAUCGUCCAAAUACAAAAAGUGCAGAAAAAGCAAAUUUCACAAACAUCACUAGAUUGAGCCGUCCCCGCCAAUACCACACCGCAGCAACGCCAUCUGCGCCGCCGCCCACCGCCGCCACCAAAGUCAGAAUCCCACUUGAAAAGAUUGAAUUUUGGAACCAACCCAAAUCAAACGAGAGCCAAAAAGAAGAGCCCUUUUCUUGGCAGCAUCAAUAGCAGCUUCCACAUUAGCCUUCACCGUCACUUGCCGCCACCUCUUCCGCCGCACCGGCGGCCACCGCCGGCAGCCGCUGCUCAGCCCUACUGCAAUGCACAUUGUUGAUCAGCAAAUAAUCAUCCUUUAUCAAAAAUCUGAAGCACACAUAUAUAUAUAUAUAUAUAUACUUUUCUUAGCUUUACUAUUUAUAUCGGCCCAGAAAAUUUGAGAGUCAAAUUAGCGUUGUGUGUGUGUGUGUGUGUGUGUGUGUGUGUGUGUGUGUAAAUAUGUGUGUACUGGCUGUAGAGUGGUGACUAUUUUCUGUAUGAAUGCAAUGAGGCCAAGUAAAUUCGCAUGAAACAAGGGCUUUCCGUGUUUGUAC
rnacentral:lncRNA from 1 species